GCCUGUGAGUUCUAUGUGGCUGAGACAUCUGUCACCCUAUUGAUACCCAAAGUUGAUUCGGCUGAUGUGGCUGGCUAAAUGGGUGUUCCCCUCCUCCCUCGGGGCUCCAUCUGUGACCCUCCCACCCAAGCUUAGCAAUUAGUUGAAGAGCAGGACUGGUCUUCAGUCAAGGUUAUACGAGUAACUGUGCUCCUCUGCAAGAACCUCCAAACAAGCUCUCAGGCUAGACUCUUAUGUCAGACAGACAACCAAUGAUAGAAAUCUACAUGUGCAGGUCACAU
ensembl:misc_RNA 7SK 7SK RNA